GCUGUUGUCACUUUGUAAAAUCCUCCCUAAUAGCACUUGUUCUCUUUCUUCUUGACAGGUGGCCUUCCCUCCCCUGUGCCCUCUGCGUGCCUGGAAUGCUGAUGGGAGGGAUGUGCUUCACCUGGAGCUCACAGAUCAAGGCUGCACUUCACUUGAUAGAACAUCAAUUCCCUUUUUCACUAAGCCAGGACUGUGGAAG
rnacentral:lncRNA from 12 species